CUCACCACGCGGCUCUGAGCGGGACGGAGCUCAGGCCCCGCCGGAGGCGCGCUCGGCUGCCGGAGCUGUUUGGCCAUGUCUGACUUCCUGAUGAUGAAGCCUUUGCUGGCAGGUUGCCCAGAUUGCUGCUCUCCUGUAGAUUCCAGUCUCUCUCCAGGAGUUGCCUGCCUUCAGCAUAAUGGGCAACAUUGAAAGCAGCAAGGCGUUCGGUCGACAAGGUUCCAAUCCAGAGUUCUGGGAGCCUCAUAAAAUGUCAAGCUAAUCAUUAGAAAAUCUAACAUUUUUCAGUAAAAUACCUUGAUUCUUCAAAUUGCCAAUUACACAUUUUCCCAUCUAAUAGACUCUCCUACAAAACCCCGAAGGCACACUGCUUAACAAUACCAUGCCAUAAAAUCCACCCUAAAUCAUCCUUCUGUCUCCAGCUCCUUCACCUAUAAACUUCCAACCUCUCUAACUGACUAAGGACUCUACAGCAUGCCAGAAGAGAAGUAAUAUUCAGUGGACAAAGAAAGAAGAGGAUGACUACUUUACCCACAAGUUGGCCUUUGUGCCUGAUUUUUAUCAAACUAUAACUAGCUAUGGAACAAUUACUAAAUUAAAUCCAUUCAGAAUGACUCCAGAAAGCAGUGCCUAAAGUCUGCAUGUGAAUGAUCCCUAAAUUUCCAAUGAUAUCUUUCCAACAACCUCCUAGUCUUUUUUAAUUGCCAAGGAGAUCUGCUUUAAAACAGCCUGUCAUCAAUCCUGGCUCUCAUGGUUGUAAUUCAAAGAGAUCCACUACCUCUGAUCACUUAGAAAAGACUGUAACUUCUAAGAGCACACCUCAGGAAGCAUUAUAAUAAACAACAUAAUCUCACACUAAUCUAUCUCUGUCAUCUCUAGAAUACAGGAUCAGCAGCCCAACUGCCAUCAACAACACGUGGAUUGAAAUAAAAAUGACCUAUUCAGCAACAUGCAUACUUGAAAAAGUGCCAGACUGUUAUUCGUUAGGAAGUGCAUCAAAAUUAUUAUUUUGGUGUUUAAAUUCACAGUUUAUUAUUUCAGGC